AGCAGCACAGGAUGAAGAUCAGAAGGGCAGAUCUGUCGAGAUUUGUGAUUUUAAACCCAAAUCUCCACUAAUCCAAAUAGGGAUUGGCGGUCUCAUGUGGCCCAGGGGCCGGCCGUGCAGCAGCACUCAGGAUCAGCUCUCAUUAAUUUGUGGGGCAGGCGUCAAGGGCACAGGCACCUCACAGCUCACUUGGCAUCAGAUACUAACUUGCUCUUUCAGGCCCGCGCAGGCCCCAGGAAAAGCCUGCUUAAGGCUAUUACCGCCAGAUCAGCAGUCCUGGGUCCCAGGGAGCACGGCUGGGGGUGGAGGGCAGGGUAGAGGGUGUGUACCAGGGUCAGGGGCUGAGGAAAUGCCCCAAACUUGCUCCGGCCGUGCCAGACCCUCCCUAAAGGGAUUGUCUGGGAUGCUCUUGGAGGUGGGGAAGGGCCCUCUUUUUUGGGGGUGUCUUUUGUUUCCUGCGAGGCUUGGAGACACAGCUUUUACUGGCCAACAGGGCCCCGGGGAACAGUUCUGUGCUCUUUUACUUCUGCCCUGGAUGCCAAUUACUGGGUCAUUUACAGGAGGGCCGACUUGGGAACCUUGGUCACUCCCCCCUCGCCCACAUCUGCAGCCAGCAGCCCUGCUUUCAAGCACUUCAAUCAAAGGAACAUCUCCUCCCUGGGGGCCAUACAGAGAAAUGCUGCUCGCCAGGCAAGCCAUUGGCCAGCUCCAAAUGAUUUAGAAUGGCAUCGUUUAGAAAGGCAUUUUUUUCUCUCCCCCUCCCAGGGUCACAGAAGUGAGCCCAUGGGCAGAUGAAGACGCUUCCAGCAUGUGGAGGGGUGAAAGGCACAACCUUUGCCCCCUCAGAGGAUCCGGCUCUCCAUCCUCCAUUCAAUAAGUGCUUCCUGGGCCCUAAGACACUAAGACCCCACCAGGUGGAAGGUGUUAACUGCAUACUGACCAUCAGCCAGUAGAGGCCAGACCAGCUGGAACCCAGAGCUGAUGACUGAGAUUCUCAAAUCAUCCCGCCAGCUCAUCAUCAACCAGAAAAAAUCAUCCGUGGAGGAAUCCCUCAGCCAUCCCGCACCACUGAGUGGUAAACUGGGAACCUCCCUGUGAAACCAAGGCUCACUGGUAGCCCUACCUGGAACGGCAGUGUAAUCUCCAUGUUGCUGCAAAUGGCUUUGUUCUGGUUGAGCCGUAUUGUGUGUAAAUGCACCACACCUUUAUCCAGGUCAGUGGACAUUUAGGUCGUUUCCAUGUCUUGGCUAUUGCAAAUAGUGCUGC